rnacentral:rRNA from 1 species
GAAAGUUCACACUGUGACGGUAUCUUACCAGAAAGGGACGGCUAACUACGUGCCAGCAGCCGCGGUAAUACGUAGGUCCCGAGCGUUGUCCGGAUUUAUUGGGCGUAAAGCGAGCGCAGGCGGUUAGAUAAGUCUGAAGUUAAAGGCUGUGGCUUAACCAUAGUACGCUUUGGAAACUGUUUAACUUGAGUGCAGAAGGGGAGAGUGGAAUUCCAUGUGUAGCGGUGAAAUGCGUAGAGAUCAGGAAGAACAUCUUCCUAUAAAAACUAGACAGAAUAAUUCUCAGAAUCUGCUUUGUGAUGUGUGCGUUCAACUCACAGAGUAAAACUUUUCUUUGAUAGAGCAGUUUUGAAACACUCUUUUGUAGUAUUUGCAUGUGUAUAUUUAGAGCGCAUUGAAGCCCACAGUAGAAAAGGAAUAACUUCACCUAAAACCUAGACAGAAGCAAUCUCAGAAACUACUUUGUGAUGUGUACAUUCAACUCACAGAGUG